UACGAAGGGGGCUAGCGUUGUCCGGAAUCAUUGGGCGUAAAGAGCGUGUAGGCGGCCCGGUAAGUCCGCUGUGAAAGUCGGGGGCUCAACCCUCGAAUGCCGGUGGAUACUGUCGGGCUAGAGUGCGGAAGAGGCGAGUGGAAUUCCUGGUGUAGCGGUGAAAUGCGCAGAUAUCAGGAGGAACACCAAUUGCGAAGGCAGCUCGCUGGGACGUAACUGACGCUGAGACGCGAAAGCGUGGGGAGCAAACAGG
rnacentral:rRNA from 1 species